rnacentral:rRNA from 1 species
UACGUAGGGUCCAAGCGUUAUCCGGAAUCACUGGGCGUAAAGCGUUUGUAGGCGGAAGUUUAAGUGAGAUGCGAAAUCUUGUGGCUCAACCACAUAGACGGUAUCUCAUACUGGGCUUCUAGAAUAUAGCAGAGGUAAGUGGAAUUAGUAGUGUAGCGGUAAAAUGCGUAGAUAUUACUAGGAACACCAAUGGCGAAGGCAGCUUACUGGGCCAUUAUUGACGCUGAGAAACGAAAGCGUGGGGAGCGAACAGG